UGGGGAAUUUUGGACAAUGGGCGAAAGCCUGAUCCAGCAAUGCCGCGUGUGUGAAGAAGGCCUUCGGGUUGUAAAGCACUUUUGUCCGGAAAGAAAUCCUUGGCUCUAAUACAGUCGGGGGAUGACGGUACCGGAAGAAUAAGCACCGGCUAACUACGUGCCAGCAGCCGCGGUAAUACGUAGGGUGCAAGCGUUAAUCGGAAUUACUGGGCGUAAAGCGUGCGCAGGCGGUUUGCUAAGACCGAUGUGAAAUCCCCGGGCUCAACCUGGGAACUGCGUUGGUGACUGGCAGGCUAGAGUAUGGCAGAGGGGGGUAGAAUUCCACGUGUAGCAGUGAAAUGCGUAGAGAUGUGGAGGAAUACCGAUGGCGAAGGCAGCCCCCUGGGCCAAUACUGACGCUCAUGCACGAAAGCGUGGGGAGCAAACAGGAUUAGAUACCCUGGUAGUCCACGCCCUAAACGAUGUCAACUAGUUGUUGGGGAUUCAUUUCCUUAGUAACGUAGCUAACGCGUGAAGUUGACCGCCUGGGGAGUACGGUCGCAAGAUUAAAACUCAAAUGAAUUGACGGGGUCAUAGCUGUUUCCU
rnacentral:rRNA from 1 species